rnacentral:rRNA from 1 species
GAUGAACGCUGGCGGCGUGCCUAAUACAUGCAAGUCGAACGAACGGACGGGAGGCUGGCUUCUCUGAUGUUAUCGGCGGACGUGUGAGUAACACAUGGAUAACCUACCUAUGAGACGGGGAUAACUUCGAGAAACCAGAUCUAAUACCAUAUAAUAUGUUGAACCUCAGGGUUCAAAAGUAAAAUACGGUCUUACUGUCACUUAUUGAUCGAGCCGCGCUUCAUUAGCUAGUUGGUAAGGUAACGGCUUACCAAGGCAACGAUUCAUAGCCGACCUGAGAGGGUGAUCGGCACAACUGGAACUGAGACACGGUCCAGACUCCUACGGGAGGAAGCAGUAGGGAAUCUUACGAAAUGGGCGAAAGCCUGACGGAGCAACGCCGCGUGAGUGAUGAAGGUCUCCGGAUGUUAAACCUCUGUUAUUAGGGAAGACCAUAUGUGUAAGUAAAUGUGCACACUUUGACGGUACCUAAUCAGAAAGCCACGGCUAACUACGUG